AUGUCAAAUAGUCUUCCAGUUGAGAUUUACGGUUCCGAGUUAGAUUCUAAUUGCGAGAAGGAGGAACUUAACUCCGAUUGUGAUGGCGACUGCCUAAUAAGAAUGGAGAAUAGGGUUCUGAAAGAACGUAGUAAGUGGUUAACUUUGUUGACUCGCUCGUUAGAGGAAGUGAACGGUUGGCUCGAAGAGGGAAGAGAUGCGCCGGGUCUUUCUCUUUGA